GGCCCGCCGCCUCCGCUGCCGCUUCGCCCCAAUCCGGUCCCUCUGACCCGGCCUGACCCGGUCUGGCUUGUUCGGGCUCAGCGGCCGCGAGGCCGCAGCUCCCGAUGGAAAUCAUAUUAUGUAGAAUACUUGGGUGACAUCUGCCUGAGAGAUCUCCAAGAAUUACAGAUUGAGUCUCGCUCUGUUGCCCAGGCUGGAGUGCAGUGGUGCAAUCUCUGCUCACUGCAACCUCCGUCUCCCGAGUUCAAGCAGUUCUCCUGCCUCAGCCUCCUGAGUAGCUGGGAUUACAGGUAUCUCAUUCAGUUGCUAAACUUAUAUUAGUUAAUUUCCACUGGCAAGUUUCAGAGAUAUUGGACAGAUACAAGUCCAAUUCUGCUCAACUGCUUGUUGAGGCUCGAGUUCAGCCUAAUCCAUCAAAACAUGUUCCCACAUCCCAUCCCCCUCACCACUGUGCAGUGUGUAUGCAGUUUGUGCGAAAGGAAAACCUACUCUCUCUGGCCUGUCAGCACCAGUUUUGCCGUAGCUGCUGGGAGCAGCACUGCUCAGUUCUCGUCAAGGACGGCGUGGGCGUGGGAGUCUCUUGUAUGGCUCAGGACUGUCCACUCCGUACACCAGAGGACUUUGUGUUUCCAUUGCUUCCCAAUGAAGAAUUGAGAGAGAAAUACAGGCGCUACCUCUUCAGGGACUAUGUGGAG
rnacentral:sRNA from 1 species